rnacentral:rRNA from 1 species
CCUACGGGGGGCUGCAGUGGGGAAUCUUCCGCAAUGGACGAAAGUCUGACGGAGCAACGCCGCGUGAGCGAAGAAGGUCUUCGGAUCGUAAAGCUCUGUUGUCGGGGAAGAACAAGUACGGUACCUCAGGAGGAAGCCCCGGCUAACUACGUGCCAGCAGCCGCGGUAAUACGUAGGGGGCGAGCGUUAUCCGGAAUCACUGGGCGUAAAGGGUGCGUAGGCGGCCAAUUAAGCCAGAGGUGAAAGGCUUCGGCUCAACCGUAGUAAGCCUUUGGAACUGAAUGGCUUGAGUGCAGGAGAGGAGAGUGGAAUUCCUAGUGUAGCGGUGAAAUGCGUAGAUAUUAGGAGGAACACCAGUGGCGAAGGCGGCUCUCUGGACUGCAACUGACGCUGAGGCACGAAAGCGUGGGGAGCGAACAGGAUUAGAUACCCGAGUAGUC